GAUGAACGCUGGCGGCGUGCUUAACACAUGCAAGUCGAACGGUGAAGGCGGAGCUUGCUCUGCUGGAUCAGUGGCGAACGGGUGAGUAACACGUGAGCAAUCUGCCCCUGACUCUGGGAUAAGCGCUGGAAACGGCGUCUAAUACUGGAUACGAGCUGCGAAGGCAUCUUCAGCAGCUGGAAAGAAUUUCGGUCAGGGAUGAGCUCGCGGCCUAUCAGCUUGUUGGUGAGGUAAUGGCUCACCAAGGCGUCGACGGGUAGCCGGCCUGAGAGGGUGACCGGCCACACUGGACUGAGACACGGCCCAGACUCCUACGGGAGGCAGCAGUGGGGAAUAUUGCACAAUGGGCGAAAGCCUGAUGCAGCAACGCCGCGUGAGGGACGACGGCCUUCGGGUUGUAAACCUCUUUUAGCAGGGAAGAAGCGAAAGUGACGGUACCUGCAGAAAAAGCGCCGGCUAACUACGUG
rnacentral:rRNA from 1 species